rnacentral:lncRNA from 1 species
AAGCAAAGCAUGUUAGAGCCACCUCAGUCAGCCUUAGGCUGUGCCGAAAAAAGAUGUGUGUGUGCGUGUCUGUUUGUAAAUAUGUACUUUCAGAAGAAUGUUGUUUGUUCUGUUAACAUGUUACUUGUAGUGUCUUUUUGGUCGUAGAAGGAUGAUCACCAUUUGUUGAUGUUGGUAUAGGUCUCUUGUUAUGUCAUAUUGACUUAGUUUUUGGGUUCAAGAUAUGUAGCCUUGGUCGGUUAAAUGCAAGUAUUGCAACAGUCAUUGUUUUUAAUGUGAUGAUUCUAGUUAUGCUGUUUGGUUGCCUUAAGAUGAACCUUGCUAUCUUGAACUGAUGAUUAUAUUUGGUGUGUUUUAGUG